UAGGUGAACAGAGUUGCUGUUGGCCAUGAGCUGCAGUCUGGACUUCUAUUAGAUUGGAGAUGCAUAGUGGUUUCUUUUGACUGAGGAAAAUGAAGGUAUGAUUUUACUGAGUUAUUCCAGUGUAAGGAGGAUUUAUGUUUUUUUUAAUUGGCCCAGAACAAUGUAAAACAACCAGGAGUUUCUCAUUAGUGAAUUUUACUCUCAUGUCAAAAUUAUUUUAGUUUACAGUUACAGCAACAAAGUGAUUACUACAUUAUUAUAGGAAAACCUUAGUUGGUUUUCCAUUGCACUUGGUACAGUGCAAUGUAUUAGACUUUUUCAGGAUAAUAACAACAGCAUCACACUGACGGCCUACACUGAUGCAGCACACAGGUAAACAGAUCAGUAUCCUUUUUUGUAAAAGCAUCUUUUUCUUUUCUCCCUUGGUCAGACCCAAGAUGUUUGAUGCAGCGUCUGGGGGAACAUAAGAUUGAGAAUCACGAUCAUACAAGAUGGUACGUGCCAUAUGCAUCUACUGCAUGACUGAUCCUGUAAAGUUUACCAAACCUCAUAGAUUUUGAUGAGCUAUUUAAAUGCUUCUGAAGAUAGCAUCCAAUUUGUCCUAAAAGAUAUUGAGAAUAUAAAACUUGGACUGAUGAAAAAUUUUCUGGAAGCAAUGAACAAAACAGAUACAUCACCAAUGACAUAUGAUUCAAAGAUCUGCUAGUGGCGCCACAGAAAAUCAUCUGGAAAGCAUUCAGUGAAGUUGUUGAGAAUUUUCUUGGAAACUACAGAGUACCAAACUACAUCCAGUGGUUGACAAACUUCUUA